rnacentral:rRNA from 1 species
UACGUAGGGGCCAAGCGUUGUUCGGAUUUACUGGGCGUAAAGGGCGCGUAGGCGGCGUGUCACGUCAGUUGUGAAAUCUGCGAGCUUAACUCGGAACGGUCAAUGGAUACUGAUGUGCUAGAGUGCAGAAGGGGCAAUCGGAAUUCUUGGUGUAGCGGUGAAAUGCGUAGAUAUCAAGAGGAACACCUGAGGCGAAGACGGCUUGCUGGGCCGGCACUGACGCUGAGGCGCGAAAGCGAGGGGAGCAAACGGG